GACUACGGCCACACCACCCUGAAAGCGCCUGAUCUCGGAAGUGAUCCAGGGCCGGGCCUGGUUAGUACCUUGAAUUGAGACCUCCUGGGAAUACCACGUGUCGUGGGCU
rnacentral:rRNA from 1 species